rnacentral:sRNA from 1 species
UAGUUACAUAAUUAUUUUUUUUAAUAUUUUUACAAACUACCUUGGCUCUCUGCCUACUGGGCAUGGAAAUGUAAAAGCGAGAGUAACAAAACAAAAUCACAAUAACCUUUGUCUACUACUAUGAUUGGCAUUCUAUUUUAAUUAAGUUUUCAUUCUUCGUUUUCUUCAUUCAUUUUCAUUAGUGUGUGUGUGUGUGAGUGUCUUUCUUUUUUCUCUACGUUCGCUUAGCAUAGGGUUUUCUAUUCAAGGUUCAAAUCACUGGCACUAUUCUCAGCAACCAACCAACAUAGAAAACCAGUCUAAGUAUAGCAACAAAAUGAAAGCCAUCCAUUUUGCAUAGCCCAACGGAAGUGGGUUGCGAGGAAAUGACUGGAAAGAGUUUGAAGGAACUUUAACUGCCCCCUGAGACAAUGCUAACGCUGAAAAGGGCAACCCACAAAAGGUUAGAGGUCAUCAUGACAUGGCUUGCGAGACCGACAAACAAAAAGAUGGUAAAUC